AUGUCGGAAUUAGAAUGGAAAAACAAAAUUUUGUAAAAUUUGGUGUGAAUUUUAAAGUUGAAAAUUUUGAAUUUUUGGUAAGUGGGAAGUUUUGGAAUGGGUAGGCAUAAGAUGAAGAGUUAAAAGUUGGAACGGGUUGAAUCGGUUGAAAAUGUAGAAAUUAGAAGGGACAAACGAAAUUUUGCAGAAUUUUCGUAAAUUUUAAAAGUGAAAAUGUGAAUUUUUUUAAUUAUGGGAAGUUUUGGAAUAGGUAG